GAGUUGUAAACUGCUUUUGUACGAGAGUAAACGCUCUUACGUGUAAGAGCCUGAAAGUAUCGUACGAAUAAGGAUCGGCUAACUCCGUGCCAGCAGCCGCGGUAAUACGGAGGAUCCAAGCGUUAUCCGGAUUUAUUGGGUUUAAAGGGUGCGUAGGCGGUUUGAUAAGUUAGAGGUGAAAUACCGGUGCUUAACACCGGAACUGCCUCUAAUACUGUUGAACUAGAGAGUAGUUGCGGUAGGCGGAAUGUAUGGUGUAGCGGUGAAAUGCUUAGAGAUCAUACAGAACACCGAUUGCGAAGGCAGCUUACCAAACUAUAUCUGACGUUGAGGCACGAAAGCGUGGGGAGCAAACAGGAUUAGAUACCCUGGUAGUCCACGCAGUAAACGAUGAUAACUCGCUGUCGGCGAUACACGGUCGGCGGCUAAGCGAAAGCGAUAAGUUAUCCACCUGGGGAGUA
rnacentral:rRNA from 1 species